CGCCGCAGUGGCCGCUCCCCCCUCCCGCUGCCGCCUCCCGCCCUUCGCGCCGUUUUCCUCUCUCUGUGGAAACUUCUGGAACGAGCCGCGGAGCUGAGGGGAGCGGCGGAACCUUUCUCUCCCCACGGAGGAAAAGCAAGAGCGGGCGCGCACAUAAUAACAGGGAUCCGCCGGGAUCGGGGUCUGGACGCGUGCAGGGGAUAUGUUGUAAUAGAAAGCCAGUGGAUGAAUACAAAGGCACUUUUCAUUAAAAGAAAAACCCCAGUUCUCCGGCUGCUGUUUGCAAAAGCCUCACAAAACAGAAACGGGGAGCACGCCUGGCAGCGAAGGUAACCGCCAGACAUGCUGGUUGUGCGGAUGCCGAAUGCACGGGGACGAGGCCGUAGCCUGGACCUGGUAUCUCCUUUUUUUCUUUUUUUUUUUAAUCUCAAAGUCCUGUUGUGAGUUGGAAUGAGAGGGAGAAGAAAAAGCUUCCAGCAGCAGAGUGAUGGUAUCGGGAAUAAUAAAGCAGAAAUCAGGCUGA